rnacentral:antisense_RNA from 1 species
UCUCUUAAUUCGUUUGAUUCGUUUGAUUCGCUUAAUUUGUUUGACUCGUUUGAUUCGCUUAAUUUGUUUGACUCGUUUGAUUCGCUUAAUUUGUUUGACUCGUUUGAUUCG